rnacentral:lncRNA from 1 species
UUAGUGAAACUUUUAGCAAUAAAAUAACAAUAAAUAUAUGCAGCCACAUUGUGACCACCCACCCACACACUAGUAUGAUAAGGAAAAUCUUGAUUUAUUUAAUUUAUUUUUUAAAAUAAAAAUAUAAUUUAGUUAUUUUACUAUAUUCUUUACAUUGUACUUAUUUAUUUUUUUUUUUCAUUUUUUUAAUUGUUUUUAAUAAAAAU